rnacentral:rRNA from 1 species
GAUGAACGCUAGCGGCAGGCCUAAUACAUGCAAGUCGAACGGUGUAGCAAUACACAGUGGCGCACGGGUGCGUAACACGUAUGCAACCUACCUUACAUUGGGGGAUAGCCUUUCGAACGGGAGAUUAAUACCGCAUAAGACAGUAACUAGGCAUCUAGUAGCUGUUAAAGAUUUAUCGAUGUAAGACGGGCAUGCGUCCAAUUAGUUUGUUGGCGAGGUAAUGGCGAACCAAGACGAUGAUUGGUAGGGGAACUGAGAGGUCAAUCCCCCACACUGGCACUGAGAUACGGGCCAGACUCCUACGGGAGGCAGCAGUAGGGAAUAUUGGGCAAUGGGCGCAAGCCUGACCCAGCCAUGCCGCGUGCAGGAAGAAGGCGUUAUGCGUUGUAAACUGCUUUUAUACAGGAAGAAACGACCCUUGCGAGGGGCAUUGACGGUACUGUAUGAAUAAGCACCGGCUAACUCCGUGCCAGCAGCCGCCGUAACAC